UACGGGGGGGGCAAGCGUUGUUCGGAAUUACUGGGCGUAAAGGGCUCGUAGGUGGCCAACUAAGUCAGACGUGAAAUCCCUCAGCUUAACUGGGGAACUGCAUCCGAUACUGGAUGGCUUGAAUCCGGGAGAGGGAUGCAGAAUUCCAGGUGUAGCGGUGAAAUGCGUAGAUAUCUGGAGGAAUACCGGUGGCGAAGGCGGCAUCCUGGACCGGCAUUGACGCUGAUGAGCGAAAGCUAGGGGAGCAAACGGG
rnacentral:rRNA from 1 species